UGAAUCAAUGGAAACCCGGUUCUAAUGCUCGAUGCAAAGAAUGGUUGGAGAAGAAGAAAGGUUAUUUAUAAAUAGUUGUCCAGUCUUCACUACAUUUGCACUGAGUUCCCUUCACUCUCUUUUCUUUCUUCUUCUUUGCACCGAGUUCCCUUCACUACAUAUUUGCACUGAGUUCCCUUCAAGGUUAUCUUCUAUUUAAGUCAUUACUUGUCAUAUUUUAUUUGGGAUUAGAUAAAGCUAUACAUAUACAUAGCCAGAGAUCAACAUCAAGUGCUAAAUGCACUUGCAGCGAAGACACAAUUUUAUCACUUUAAGGUCAUUAUCGUGACUGGUAUGAGUUUUUUUCACCGAUGCCUACGACCUAUUUUCUAUCUCCCUGGUAACAAAGUUAUUUGGCCGCAUAUACACUACCAUGUGGACGGUGCAUCAAAGCCGGGAAUGUUGCCCCCCGACAUCUCAGCCACAGUCAAUGGCGUAGCCUUCAUUGGAACACUUUCCGACUAGCUCUUCUUUGGCUGGCUAGGUGACAAGCUCGGCAGAAAGAAAGUCUACGGCAUGACUAUGCUCCUUAUGGUGAUUUGCUCUGUGGCCUCCGGCUUUCUUUCUGCCGGAGCUUGUCACCUAGCCAGCCAAAGAAGAGCUGGCCGGAAAGUGUUCCAAUGAAAGCUACGCCAUUGACUGCGGCUGAGAUGUUGGGGGGCAACGUUCCCGGCUUUAAUGCACCGUCCACAUGGUAGUAUAUGCGGCCAAAUAACUUUGUUAUCAGGGAGAUAGAAAAUAGGUAGUAGGCAUCGGUGAAAAAAACUCAUACCAGUCACGAUAAUGGCCGUAAAGUGAUAAAAUUGUGUCUUCGCUGCAUCAAGUGCAUUUAGCAUUUGAAGUUGAUCUCUGGCCAUGUAUAUAUAUAGCUUUAUCUAAUCCCAAACAGUAUAUUUCAGACGCUGUUUUUGUAAAAGAGUUUCUGGGUCAAUAUUGAACAUUCUUUGAUGCAAAGACAAUUCAAGGAUGACGGCAACCCUUCUGGCAAGGAAUAAAGCCCAUGGCAACCAUUAAUCUCCAAUUUCCCAAGGGCGAUCAAGUUCUGAAUACCCAUGCCAUUCAUGACUCUGAGAUCUGAGAGUCUACUGAUGCGUAGAGACUUGAGACUUCUUGGAAGAAGAUCCUUAUCUGGAAAUGACUUCAUGCCAAUGCAUCCACCUUCAAUCUCCAAAUGAGUUAGAGAGGGAAGCCUAUGCAGAUUCCACUCCUUUUGAGGUACAAGCUUGUCAGAAAAUGAAAUUGAAGAGACCCACAUUCUUCUUCUGCCACAGAUCUUGGUAUGCAUCAUUUGGAAAAAGCAAUGGUUUGACCAUCAGAGUGAGCAUAAUAGAAGCCAGAGUUCAAGCGUCUCGGAAGGUUUACUGGUCCUGCACAAGCAAAAACAGAAGAUCAUUUUUAAAACAUAUUGAAAAAUUGAAAAAAUCUUUAUGCAUUCUUGUUACUUGACUGUUUUAUUAUCGAGUGAGAUUGAAGAAUAAGCACAUUUUUUAUUGAAUUCAUCACUACGAAGAACAUUGUAACCUAGCUUGAGUUUAAGACCAUUCUUGACUUCACUUUUGUCACC